UACGUAGGGGGCGAGCGUUGUCCGGAUUUAUUGGGCGUAAAGAGCUCGUAGGCGGUUUGGUAAGUCGGGUGUGAAAUCUCCACGCUCAACGUGGAGGGGCCACUCGAUACUGCCAUGACUCGAGUCCGGUAGAGGAGUGUGGAAUUCCCGGUGUAGCGGUGAAAUGCGCAGAUAUCGGGAGGAACACCCGUAGCGAAGGCGACACGCUGGGCCGUACCUGACACUGAGGCGCGAUAGCAUGGGGAGCAAACAGG
rnacentral:rRNA from 1 species